rnacentral:rRNA from 1 species
GGUAGUCCACGCCGUAAACGAUGUCGACUUUGGAGGUUGUGCCCUUUGAGGCGUGGCUUUCCGGAGCUAACGCGUUAAGUCGACCGCCUGGGGAGUACGGCCGCAAGGUUAAAACUCAAAUGAAUUGACGGGGGCCCGCACAAGCGGUGGAGCAUGUGGUUUAAUUCGAUGCAACGCGAAGAACCUUACCUGGCCUUGACAUAGUAAGAACUUUCCAGAGAUGGAUUGGUGCCUUCGGGAACUUACAUACAGGUGCUGCAUGGCUGUCGUCAGCUCGUGUCGUGAGAUGUUGGGUUAAGUCCCGCAACGAGCGCAACCCUUUUCCUUAUUUGCCAGCGAGUAAUGUCGGGAACUUUAAGGAUACUGCCAGUGACAAACUGGAGGAAGGCGGGGACGACGUCAAGUCAUCAUGGCCCUUACGGCCAGGGCUACACGCGUGCUACAAAUGGUCGGUACAAAAGGGUUGCUACCUAGCGAUAGGAUGCUAAUCUCGAAAAAGCCGAUCGUAGUCCGGAUUGGAGUCUGCGAACUCGACUCCAUGAAAGUCGGAAUCGCUAGUAAUCGCGGAUCAAAUGCCGCGGUGAGUACGUUCCCGGGCCUUGUACACACCGCCCGUCACACCGUAGAGUUUGUUCACCGUAGUAGCUGCCUAACUGCGAAAGAGCGGUUACCACGGUGGGCCUUGACGAGUUAAGUCGUAACAAGGUAACC